UCCGCCCGCUGGCGGCGUGCCUAAUACAUGCAAGUAGAACGCACAGUUUAUACCGUAGCUUGCUACACCAUAGACUGUGAGUUGCGAACGGGUGAGUAACGCGUAGGUAACCUGCCUGGUAGCGGGGGAUAACUAUUGGAAACGAUAGCUAAUACCGCAUAAUAUUAAUUAUUGCAUGAUAAUUAAUUGAAAGGUGCAAUUGCACCACUACCAGAUGGACCUGCGUUGUAUUAGCUAGUAGGUGAGGUAACGGCUCACCUAGGCGACGAUACAUAGCCGACCUGAGAGGGUGAUCGGCCACACUGGGACUGAGACACGGCCCAGACUCCUACGGGAGGCAGCAGUAGGGAAUCUUCGGCAAUGGACGAAAGUCUGACCGAGCAACGCCGCGUGAGUGAAGAAGGGUUUCGGAUCGUAAAGCUCUGUUGUAAGAGAAGAACGGGUGUGAGAGUGGAAAGUUCACACUGUGACGGUAUCUUACCAGAAAGGGACGGCUAACUACGUG
rnacentral:rRNA from 1 species